ACCAAGCGCCCAACUCGACCAGCUUGUCAUUUUUGCCUUUUGUGAUGACUUGAGAAUCAUCUUCCAAACGGUGUCUAGAUUCCUGUUCCAGUUUCUCCACCUACCAUCUGUGUGACCCUAGAAUACCUACUCUGAAGGAAGCCAGCCACCAUGUUGUGAGGAUGCCCAAGCAGCCCUAUGAGGAGAUCCACAUGAAGAGUAACAGAGGCCCUCUGUCAAUAGCUGGUACCAACUUGCUAGCCACUUAAGUGUGCCAUCUGGAAAGUGGAUUUUCCAGCCCUAGUCAAACCUUCAGACGACUACAGCCCUGGCCUACACCUUGACUGCAACUUCAUGAGAGAAUCAAGCCUGAACUACCCAGCUAAGCUGCUUCUGAAUUCCUGAACUGCAGAUGUUAUGAGAUCUAUCAAAGAAGUAGAAAUGAAGAAUAAAUAAUUAACAGAUGACCAGAUCUCAUCCCUAGAUUCCCCUUCAGUAAUCUCAAGAACAAACUGUGUGAACAAGAUAGCAUCUAAAGAAAACUCACAAGAAGUGGACAAGCCUGCACACAGUGGGAGAUGGUGACGACUCUGACCCCCUAUCUCAAUGAUUAAUUGAGAUUACUUCCUUUUUUCCCCUGAAAAACUUUCAUGGCUGAGCAGAAUCUUCAGAGGUGGUUUUUGGGGGACACUGAGCCCACCAUCUCCCCAGAUUGCCAGUGUUCUGAUUAGAAGCAUCUUUCCUCUCUACCAACAUUUUCCUCUCGAGUAUUGAUUUUUGAGCGGCAAGCAGUCGGACCUGAUGUGGAAACAGAUUCAGGCUGAGGGGAAUCUGAUCUGGUGCUGAUCUGCAUGGA